CGGGACGGACGGUAGAGAUGGCCUUCCAGGCGCUGCCGGGACGGAUGGAAGAGACGGCUUGCCAGGACGAGAUGGAGUGAAGGGCGAGAAAGGCGACCAGGGCCUUCCGGGUAUCAUGGGAGCCACAGGUGAGAAAGGUAA